CCUACGGGAGGCAGCAGUGAGGAAUAUUGGUCAAUGGACGAGAGUCUGAACCAGCCAAGUAGCGUGAAGGAUGACUGCCCUAUGGGUUGUAAACUUCUUUUAUAUGGGAAUAAAACGUUCCACGUGUGGGAUUUUGUAUGUACCAUAUGAAUAAGGAUCGGCUAACUCCGAGCCAGCAGCCGCGGUAAUACGGAGGAUCCGAGCGUUAUCCGGAUUUAUUGGGUUUAAAGGGAGCGUAGGUGGAUUGUUAAGUCAGUUGUGAAAGUUUGCGGCUCAACCGUAAAAUUGCAGUUGAAACUGGCAGUCUUGAGUACAGUAGAGGUGGGCGGAAUUCGUGGUGUAGCGGUGAAAUGCUUAGAUAUCACGAAGAACUCCGAUUGCGAAGGCAGUUCACUGGACUGCAACUGACACUGAGGCUCGAAAGUGUGGGUAUCAAACAGGAUUAGAUACCCCAGUAGUC
rnacentral:rRNA from 1 species